GGAUCGCUUGAGCCCAGGAAUUUGAGACCAGCCUGGGUAACAUGGCAAAACUCCGUCUCUACAAAAAAACACAAAAAAAUUAGCCGGGUGUGGUGGUGGCGUGCCUGUAGUCCCAGCUACUCGGGAGGUGAGGUGGGAGGAUUGAUUGAGUGAGCCAUGGUCACACCACUGCACUUCAGCCUAGGAGACAGAGUGAGACCCUGUCUCAAAAAAAAAAAAAAAAAAGAAAAGAAAAGGAAAAGGAAAAAGAGAAAAGUUAUCAGAAAGUAGAGAAAACUUUUGAAAGAGCGCUUGGAUAAGAUGGAAGUCAGCUGCUAUCAGAGGCUAAUAUCCUAACUGGACUUCCAUUGGCAAAUAUCCUGUUUUUUUCCCAGUGGGCAGUAGAAUGUAUAUUUCUUGGCUUUGCAAGAAUACAAAAAUAUCCCAUUCAUUAACUUAGGUUUCAUGCUUCAAAUAAACAAUUGCCCUGAUUUCUAAGAUAAGAUACAGUUAGCUAUGAAUGCAUAUAGGCAGAAUCUGGUGCAUAUGUUUAUCUCAAAUCCAGGGCUGUUUUUAUGUUUUACAGACCAUGCCCUGCAAGUCUAAGUGUUCUCGGGUAAAGUUGUCAAGGCAGGAGGCUGAGUGAGGACACACCAGCUUUACCUGCCUUGGGGCACUCCUGGGAUUGAUUGGUUUCCCCAGAGCCAUAAAAUUUUUUAUUAUUCUUCUGCGUGUAUCAGGCCAUGGAACUGUGUGGCCUUCUGGGAUUUCUGCUGCUUGUAAAAUGGCACAACAUUUUUGUUGGCUGAAGUGCAGGGUGAGAAUUGCUCAUCAGCCUUGCAGAGCAACUGGAGACCUCUUUUAGGGUCAUUGGUUAACCUGCACCAGAGGGCAAUUAAUGAGUCAAUGAAGGAAAUGCUAACAUUAAAUUUAAAUGUGUGAAGAAGGAUUCCUCCAAGCAUCAGAUGAGCUAGAUGGGGUAGGAACAUUAAGAGUGAAAAUCUGGGAAAUAACCAAGUGCUUUGUUCUUUUCUACGGCAUGCAGAACUCAUUACUGUUGAUGGAAGCAAAAACAACAAGGCUGAGUGCCUUCAAUAGGUCAGAGGUUAGACACGCUCUGGCUCAACUUUACUGGCCAGUCUUCAUUAGUCAUUGAAACACAAGUGGAAAGAAGAUAAAGAUCCCUGUUAUUUGAGAGCAAAUCUUCUGAAUAUCCAUUCCAUGAAACUCAGAUACCUUCUCCAGGUAAGACUUAACUUUGUAAACUAUUCACGGCAGAAAUGUAAACAUAAAGAAAUUGCCCUACACACUAGGUAAGUAACAGAGUGGAGUGAAUCUUAAGCAAAAUGGUCAAGUAGGCAAUGAGAUUUUUUUUUUGUCAGAGUCAUUCUUUCUUUUCAAACUCAGAGGUAUUUCAUAUACUAGCAAAUUAAAGCCAGCUGCGCUUUGGGAGGAAGAGGAUGUUAUUUAGUUGGCAGAUAACCUUAAAUCGCACCUUUGCCCCAUAGCCUAUGGCCUUGGGUAAAUAAGUGAGCUUCUUUGAGCUUUAAUCUCCUCAAUGCCAAAUGUAACUAUCUGCUAUGGUCUGAAUGUGUUCCCCAAAAUUCAUGUAUUAAAAACUUAAUCCCCAGUGCAGCAGUGCUGAAAGGUGAGUCUCUUUGGGAGGUGUUUAGGUCGUGAGGGCUCUGCCCUUAUAAAUAGAUUAAUGCUAUCAAACUAGGACUUGAUGGAGGAAGUUAGUCUCUCUUGACCGUCUGACGUCCCCUAUAUAAGGACACAGCAAAAAAGCCCUUGUCAGACACCAAAUGUUGGUGCCUUGAUCUUGGACUUCCCAAUCCCUAGAACUGUGAGAACAUAAAAUUCUCUUCUUUAUAAAUUACCCAGUUUCAAGUAUUUUGUUGUACUAGCACAAAACACACUAAGACACUAUCAUACAAGGUCAUUGUUCUAAAUAUUGUAUGAAAGAGGUGGGUAUAUGAUGGAUAAUUAUUUCAUAAGUACUAAAAAAAAUGAUGGUGGGGGCACCUAAGAACUCUCAUUUUACAGAUGUGGGAACUGGGGCUUGAGAAUUAUUUCCGUUGUUUAAGUUCAGUCAGCUUACUUAGUCAAAACUAGAACUCAGGUCUCUUGACUUCCGAGGCCAGUGUUUUUUCAAGCUACCUCUAAGUUAUUCUACAAUUCCAAAAACUUGCUCUUAAGACUGUGGAUGUAGCUAAAGUUAUAGCUUCCAGUUUGCCUACAAUGAACAAAACUAUUUUUAUUAUUAGGCUGAAUUUCUUUUUUUUUUUUUUUUUUUGAGACAGAGUCUCACUCUGUCACCCAGGCUGGAGUGCAGUGGCGCUAUCUCAGCUCACUGCAACCUCUAUCUCCUGGGUUCAAGCUAUUCUCCUAUCUCAGCCUCCUAGGUAGCUGGGACUAUAGGCAUGUGUCACAAUGCCUGGCUAAUUUUUCUUGUUUGUUUUUUAACUAGAGACGGGAUUUCACUAUGUUGGUCAGGCUGGUCUCAAACUCCUGACCUCAAGUGAUCUGCCCGCCUUGGCCUCCCAAAGUGCUGGGAUUACAGGUGUGAACCACCAUGCCUGGCCAAAGUUCUUUUUUUUAAAAAAGAGAAUAUAUCUGGUCCUUAUUUCUGUGAAGACUGAAUAACUGUUAAUAGCCCAAAUUACUAACUGUCCUAGAGGAAUGUGUUUUAAUAGUAACACAAGUCUUAAAGAAGUGAAACUCCUUAGCUAGGCAUCCCUGAGCCUCCCUGGCCUCCUGCAGUCACUCUGGCCACAUGGCUAACCUCCUGUAGCUCUAAGAUCAAGGAGUCAAUCCAAGGCUUCCAACUGGUAGUCAAGCUCCAGACUGAAAGGCCAUGAAACACAAGUAACCUGAGCUCAUCUGGCUGAGCGUCACAAUCCAGAAAUGUUUUUCAUGCCAUGCACUCCUCUGCCAUGUGAGCAAAGCAUGGCAUGGUGCAGUGGAAACUUUGUGUAAUCCAUUCUAUUUUAAAUUACCAAGGAGUUGAAUUUUAUGAAAUACUAAAGGACUAGAUUCUAGAAGACCUUCAUAGAAUACAGAUGGUUUGUUCACAUAAUUUUUGUCUUUGCUCAGGAGUGCAAGAUUUUCCAAGCACGUCUUCCUUCUUCCACUUAGAAUUCCUUCACAGACUCUUGUUGUCUAUUUUGUGUAA
rnacentral:lncRNA from 1 species